GUGCCAGCCGCCGCGGUAAUACGGAGGGCGCAAGCGUUACUCGGAAUCAUUGGGUGUAAAGAGCGUGUAGGCGGAUAAAUAAGUCAGAAGUGAAAUCCAAUAGCUUAACUAUUGAACUGCUUUUGAAACUGUUUAUCUAGAGUGUGGGAGAGGUAGAUGGAAUUUCUGGUGUAGGGGUAAAAUCCGUAGAGAUCAGAAGGAAUACCGAUUGCGAAGGCGAUUUACUGGAACAUAACUGACGCUGAGACGCGAAAGCGUGGGGAGCAAACAGGAUUAGAAACCCUUGUACC
rnacentral:rRNA from 1 species